GAUCCCUCCUUCUGGUAUUUUGUGGUGAGCCCGGCAUAAGGGCAGAGCUGCAAACAUGACUUAACAAACUUAAGGACUUCUACACCUGUCUAGACCAAGAAGUGGAAGAAGUUCUCAUUGAACAAAGAAUGUGGCAGGAAAACCACAGAGCCAUCUGACUUCCAGGCAGACUGUUAUAUUUCAGAUGCUCCACUGCUUACACAUAUCCUUUGUGAGGUGAAAACUCAUAAUUUCCUGCAGCUGUUUCCUCAAAUAAACCUCUACAUCAAUUCUUCCUCUACGUUCACCUAUUUCAUAUUUGUUUUGCAAGAGUACGCAGUUGUAGGCAUACCAGUGUCUUUCCUUGGAGAACCAGCCCUGCUCCUCCCUCUGGCUGCAGCUUUCUUCACCUCAGUGAGCAGGGUGGUGAGGGGAAGCAUUUCAAUCUGACACCUCUUAAGAAAAGCCAAAAGGGAACAGAUGAUGAUACCACAACCUUUCUGUUCUCUCUAUCACUUUCAUUGACAGAAAACAAACAAACAAAAAAACACCUUUGAGAUAAAGCAUCAUUUCAGCUUGCCCUAAAGAAGAGGAUAAAAUUUUGAAGAACAGUUAACUGUAUUGCAAAAAUUUUCCAUUGUUGGAGCCUAAUGCUGCUGGACCAGACAUUUUCCUGCUUUUCUGACUCUUAAGAAAUAUCUUGCUAUUACAGUUUGUAAUAUUUCAAAAAAAUUUUUUUUUUGUUUUCUUUAUGCAGAAAAGAAUUGGUACUGUAGGGUACCAAUUUAAUUCUUGCCUCUCCUCAUGAAAUAAGUAAACUUUCACAUACUUUACUGUCUAAUUAAUUAGUUAGCUAAUUAAUUAAUUAGCUUUUACAGGAUUUUUCCCAUGCUUCCCAUUCCUUUUUUCUCUAUGUGCAGUCAAAACCUUUAAAGAUCUUCUGGUAUAGGCAACUAUUGAUUCUUCUCCUUAGAUUGGUGCUGUUAAACAUGUCUUGCAGAACCUCAAAAUGUUUGUAUGCAGAGCUGGUUUCUCAUAAA